rnacentral:rRNA from 1 species
AGCGAACGCUGGCGGCGUGCUUAACACAUGCAAGUCGAGUGCGUAGCCCUUUGUAGCAAUACAGAGGGUGGGCGCACGGCGCACGGGUGAGUAACGCGUGGGUAACCUGCCCCUCGGUGGGGAAUAACCCCGCGAAAGCGGGGCUAAUUCCGCAUAACAUUCCGGGGACACAUGUUCUCGGACUCAAAGGAGUGAUUCGCCGGAGGAGGGGCCCGCGCCCGAUUAGCUUGUUGGUAGGUAACGGCCACCAAGGCUUUGAUCGGUAGCCGGUCUGAGAGGAUGGCCGGCCACACUGGAACUGAGACACGGUCCAGACUCCUACGGGAGGCAGCAGUGGGGAAUCUUGCGCAAUGGGCGAGAGCCUGACGCAGCAACGCCGCGUGGAGGAUGAAGGUCUUUGGAUUGUAAACUCCUGUCAGCGGGGAAAAAGGGAUUUGGCCUAAUACGCCAGAAACUUGAUUGUACCCGCAGAGGAAGCCCGGCUAACUCUGUGCCAGCAGCCGCGGUAAG